UACGCAGGGGGCGAGCGUUGUCCGGAUUUAUUGGGCGUAAAGAGCGUGUAGGCGGCCGAGCAGGUCCGUUGUGAAAACUGAAGGCUCAACCUUCAGAGGUCGAUGGAGACCGUUCGGCUAGAGUCCGGAAGAGGAGAGUGGAAUUCCUGGUGUAGCGGUGAAAUGCGCAGAUAUCAGGAAGAACACCCGUGGCGAAAGCGGCUCUCUGGGACGGUACUGACGCUGAGACGCGAAAGCGUGGGGAGCGGACAGG
rnacentral:rRNA from 1 species